AAUAGAUACCCAGGUAGUCCACGCCGUAAACGAUGAGUGCUAAGUGUUAGAGGGUUUCCGCCCUUUAGUGCUGCAGCAAACGCAUUAAGCACUCCGCCUGGGGAGUACGGCCGCAAGGCUGAAACUCAAAGGAAUUGACGGGGGCCCGCACAAGCGGUGGAGCAUGUGGUUUAAUUCGAAGCAACGCGAAGAACCUUACCAGGUCUUGACAUCUCCUGACAACCCUAGAGAUAGGGCGUUCCCCUUCGGGGGACAGGAUGACAGGUGGUGCAUGGUUGUCGUCAGCUCGUGUCGUGAGAUGUUGGGUUAAGUCCCGCAACGAGCGCAACCCUUGAUCUUAGUUGCCAGCAUUCAGUUGGGCACUCUAAGGUGACUGCCGGUGACAAACCGGAGGAAGGUGGGGAUGACGUCAAAUCAUCAUGCCCCUUAUGACCUGGGCUACACACGUGCUACAAUGGAUGGUACAAAGGGCUGCAAGACCGCGAGGUUAAGCGAAUCCCAUAAAACCAUUCUCAGUUCGGAUUGCAGG
rnacentral:rRNA from 1 species